rnacentral:rRNA from 1 species
UACGGAGGGUGCAAGCGUUAUCCGGAUUCACUGGGUUUAAAGGGAGCGCAGGCGGACUGGUAAGUCAGUGGUGAAAGCCUUGAGCUUAACUCGAGAACUGCCAUUGAUACUAUCAGUCUUGAAUAUUGUUGAGGUUUGCGGAAUGGGUCAUGUAGCGGUGAAAUGCAUAGAUAUGACCCGGAACACCUAUUGCGAAGGCAGCAGGCUAAACAAAGAUUGACGCUGAGGCUCGAAAGCGUGGGGAUCAAACAGG